rnacentral:rRNA from 1 species
GGUGAACGCUGGCGGCGUGCCUAAUACAUGCAAGUCGAGCGAACGGACGAGAAGCUUGCUUCUCUGAUGUUAGCGGCGGACGGGUGAGUAACACGUGGAUAACCUACCUAUAAGACUGGGAUAACUUCGGGAAACCGGAGCUAAUACCGGAUAAUAUUUUGAACCGCAUGGUUCAAAAGUGAAAGACGGUCUUGCUGUCACUUAUAGAUGGAUCCGCGCUGCAUUAGCUAGUUGGUAAGGUAACGGCUUACCAAGGCAACGAUGCAUAGCCGACCUGAGAGGGUGAUCGGCCACACUGGAACUGAGACACGGUCCAGACUCCUACGGGAGGCAGCAGUAGGGAAUCUUCCGCAAAGGGCGAAAGCCUGACGGAGCAACGCCGCGUGAGUGAUGAAGGUCUUCGGAUCGUAAAACUCUGUUAUUAGGGAAGAACAUAUGUGUAAGUAACUGUGCACAUCUUGACGGUACCUAAUCAGAAAGCCACGGCUAACUACGUG